CUUGUAUCACAGCUCCAAUUUUCAUUCUUCCUAUUGGAGAACUCUUAAUCUGUGCCCUUCUACUUUGCUGAUGUGUUGAUAGGCACAGAUGCUCAGACUGGCUAGAAAAAGGGUAUGCUCAGAUAUGUUGUUGUGUUUCAUGUUUCAAUGAGUAGGUUUUUUUGUUGUUUAAAUCAAUGGGGCCUUUCA